rnacentral:rRNA from 1 species
UACAGAGGUCUCAAGCGUUGUUCGGAUUCAUUGGGCGUAAAGGGUGCGUAGGUGGCGCGCUAAGUCAGGUGUGAAAUCUCGGAGCUUAACUCCGAAACUGCAUUUGAUACUGGCGUGCUUGAGGACUGGAGAGGAGACUGGAAUUCACGGUGUAGCAGUGAAAUGCGUAGAUAUCGUGAGGAAGACCAGUGGCGAAGGCGGGUCUCUGGACAGUUCCUGACACUGAGGC